rnacentral:ncRNA from 1 species
GGACAUUACCGAGUUUACAACUCCCAAACCCCUGUGAACAUACCUAUACGUUGCCUCGGCGGAUCAGCCCGCGCCCCGUAAAACGGGACGGCCCGCCCGAGGACCCCUAAACUCUGUUUUUAGUGGAACUUCUGAGUAAAACAAACAAAUAAAUCAAAACUUUCAACAACGGAUCUCUUGGUUCUGGCAUCGAUGAAGAACGCAGCAAAAUGCGAUAAGUAAUGUGAAUUGCAGAAUUCAGUGAAUCAUCGAAUCUUUGAACGCACAUUGCGCCCGCCAGUAUUCUGGCGGGCAUGCCUGUUCGAGCGUCAUUUCAACCCUCAAGCUCAGCUUGGUGUUGGGACUCGCGGUAACCCGCGUUCCCCAAAUCGAUUGGCGGUCACGUCGAGCUUCCAUAGCGUAGUAAUCAUACACCUCGUUACUGGUAAUCGUCGCGGCCACGCCGUAAAACCCCAACUUCUGAAUGUUGACCUCGGAUCAGGUAGGAAUACCCGCUGAACUUAAGCAUAUCAAUAAGCGGAGGAAAAGAAACCAACAGGGAUUGCCCUAGUAACGGCGAGUGAAGCGGCAACAGCUCAAAUUUGAAAUCUGGCUCUCGGGCCCGAGUUGUAAUU